rnacentral:rRNA from 1 species
UACGUAGGGGGCAAGCGUUGUCCGGAUUUAUUGGGCGUAAAGAGCGUGUAGGCGGCUUGGCAAGUCUGGUGUGAAAUCUUGCGGCUCAACCGCAAGCGGUCACUGGAAACUGCCUCGCUAGAGUCCGGAAGAGGAGAGCGGAAUUCCUGGUGUAGCGGUGGAAUGCGCAGAUAUCAGGAAGAACACCCGUGGCGAAGGCGGCUCUCUGGGACGGUACUGACGCUGAGACGCGAAAGCGUGGGGAGCGAACAGG